UCCUAUCCGGUGUCCCACGACACCACACAU
rnacentral:sRNA from 1 species